rnacentral:rRNA from 1 species
CCCCUAGAUGCUCUGGGCCGCACGCGCGCUACACUGGUCGAUGCAACGAGUUUCUUUCCUUGGCCGACAGGCCUGGGCAAUCUUUGAACAUCGAUCGUGAUCGGGAUAGAUUCUUGUAAUUUUUGAUCUUAAACGAGGAAUUCCUAGUAAACGCAAGUCAUCAGCUUGCAUUGAUUACGUCCCUGCCCUUUGUACACACCGCCCGUCGCACCUACCGAUUGAAUGGUCCGGUGAAAUCUCCGGACUGGCGUGAGUCGGAGCAAUCUGACAAACACCGGAAAGUUGAUUAAACCUUACCAUUUAGAGGAAGGUGAANUCGUANCA